CCUACGGGGGGCAGCAGUGGGGAAUAUUGGACAAUGGGGGCAACCCUGAUCCAGCCAUGCCGCGUGGAUGAUGAAGGCCUUAGGGUUGUAAAAUCCUUUCGGCGGGGAAGCGGUACCCGCAGAAGAAGCCCCGGCUAACUUCGUGCCAGCAGCCGCGGGAAUACGAAGGGGGCUAGCGUUGCUCGGAAUCACUGGGCGUAAAGCGCACGUAGGCGGCUUUCUAAGUCAGGGGUGAAAUCCUGGAGCUCAACUCCAGAACUGCCUUUGAUACUGGAAAGCUUGAGUUCGGGAGAGGUGAGUGGAACUGCGAGUGUAGAGGUGAAAUUCGUAGAUAUUCGCAAGAACACCAGUGGCGAAGGCGGCUCACUGGCCCGUCUGACGCUGAGGUGCGAAAGCGUGGGGAGCAAACAGGAUUAGAUACCCUUGUAGUC
rnacentral:rRNA from 1 species